AUAUAAUUCUUCUUUUCAUAUUCACGGUACGAGGAAAUGAAGAAUGGCGUGUCGGUUGAGAGUUUAAUUCGAUUUAGAAAUGCAAGAAACCUUUUGUUCGGCUGAGACCAGUCGGUCACGCAACUUUAUUUCAAAUCUACCCCUUUUAUGCCUCUUCGUCCUUUCGUAAUGCUUUGCGAUAGUUCGCAUUUCUUUGUUCUUUAUUUUCUUUAGUGAAGGUAACGUUGGUCGUCGAGAGUUUAGAUUCUUUCGUUGUGCAAAGAAAAGUACGCGAAGGAAUAUUUCAAAUCGUAGAUUUAUUUAAAAAGAAAAAAACUAGGAGAACCCCAUGUGUUACCGUUUGGAAGAACACGAGGACCAAAAUAGAGAAUAAUCGUGGCAAUUGGUUUGUGCAUUUGUCUUUCUCUUUCUCUCUCUCUCUCUCUCUCUCUCUCUCUCUGGAAUGGUGGAACGACGUUAGUUAGAACGGGGGGAAAGCUAACAAAUUGUCCUAUCCAUUAAUCUCUCCAACGCAUACGCUUCUGAUCGAGAGACUAGGCGUUAAUAGUGGAAGAGAAUGAGAUCAAUUUGGUGUUUUCAUACUUAUGAACAAUGUCAUCGUCAUUGUUUCAAGAUGUAAGAAGAAAAUGGAAAUAAUGAAAAAGAAGAAAAAAAAAGAAAAAUAAUAAAUAAAGGAUUAAAUGAUACUAGAGAUUUUACGUUGGUUUUUUUCAUAAAGUCAAAUGAACGAGACUAGAGGAUUCAUCUGGUAGAAAAGAAAUUCUCAUUCGUAUAUAACACAACUCAACUACAGAGAGAUAGAAAGAAAGAGAGAGAGAGAGAGAAAGAAAGAGAUAGUGCAUCAUGCGUGCGAGUAUUCGAGUUCAACGGGGAACAACCGCAGCCUUCCCUUGUCCACCGAGUUAAAUCAUAAAAUUGUCCGUGGGGUGGCCACGAAAUUCCACUGAUUUACGAGCAGCAGGUCGUCCGUUUUGCUCGUACUCGCGCCGAUGGCUCGAUGGAGUGUUACUGUGGACUUGGUUGAGGGAACGUUAAAAUAUUCCCUCUCUCUCUCUCUCUCUCUCUCUCUCUCUCUUUUCAUCUUUCUUUAUUUUUUCAGCUUCCCUCCUCUUUAUCUCCAUACUUCGUUUUCUUUCUUCCUCGCUGGAAGAUACCGUUUCACGUGUGUUUUUGUACAGUGAUCCUGGUCAUGGAGAAAUGACCACGAAAAAGGGAGAAAAACAAGCGCGACGUAUAGUACAGGAGAGGUUUCGAACUGGCUGCUGGGUGGAUGGCUGGUUGGUUGGUUGGUUGGAUGGUUGGCAAACGGCAAUGGAGAAAGGUAUUCGAUUGGACGUUACUCUCUGUAUCUGUGCGAUACUCGUUAGGUAAUGCACUACUCGAUGGAAGAAUCCUUGCUGUUUCCUACCCCGUUAAGCAGGUAUUGGACAUUGUAUCAGAACCAUUUUAAACAACUCGGAAAGCUACUCUCUCUCUCUCUCUCUCUUUACUCCGAUGACAUUACGAAAGCUGGAACAUGACAUAUUUGAAAGUCGAGAAGAAAAACCUUCAGGUAGAGACAAUACGAGAGAAAGCUAAAUGCACCUAGCCGAUUUUACAGGAUAAAGAAGAUGUAAUAAAAAAUUUUCGAUAAGCUGAGAUAUAUCAGAUUAACGAACAAUCAAACGGAUCGAUCAUUUCAAUAAGGUACACCCUUUUUUACCCAAGGGAUAAAACAUUUUCAAGAGAGGCAAAAACACAAAACGGACAUCGCAUGUUCUCUCAUCAGCGUAAUUGUUUCCUUUUCUACUACGUGCGAGAAGGAUGGGAAAUAGGAAAGAACGGAGUUUUGAUGUUGGCAUCGUCGUGCUAUUAUCACAGUCGUCAUUUUGGAUAGAAGGAAGGAAGGAAGGAGGGAUUGUGUUGUCAACUACCAAUAGAAAGAAAAGAAAAAUUCUGCCAUUUGAAUCAACAUCAGGAACAUUUAUUUUUUUUUUCUUUAUUAUACUUUUUCGUCCAUUUUCUAUACUUAGUAGUCGUUUCUCGUGGUCGUUGCAUUUUGUGGGUUCCGUGUACGGUGGCUUAAACGAAAAACAAAGGAAUGCAGUUUGAAGAGGGAAAAGGAAAAUACACGGAUUAAAGAGGAUUAAACGCUAAUUGAUCGGUCGGUCGAUUCCUCCUCCUCCUCCUCCUCGUUUUCGUACUCCUACUACACCCUCUUGCUUGUUUGAUAGCUUCCUUAGUGUUAGUCAGGGACACGGGUUCCUAGGUUAAAACACAAGAGGCAUCAGCCUAGGGGAAUAAUGGCUUUUGAGGAGAAAAUAAUAAUAUUAGAAGAAGCCGACGAAAUCAAAACGUUGUUUGGACAAACAGUUUCAUCUAAAAAUAGGAUUACAAAACUAGUUCUUUCAAUGUCUUUUUUUUUUAUUUUUUAAAUAAUUUAAUUUAAUUUAAUUUAAUUUAAUUUAAAAUAAGUCACACAAGUCGACCUAAAAAUGUCACAUAUUUUUAUAAACCAACUCUGAUUAUUAUUAAUAAUAAUUUUUUUUUAUUUAACGUUAGUUUUAAUCGUUCGAUAUUAUUGUUGGUUCCUUAACAUCGAAGAGUUGGGAGUGGAAGUGAAUAUUUAGUGUUGCAACAUGAAUGCAAAAAGAUUGACACUCUUUUUUCCAAGUCAGGAGGGAUCGUGAUUAUUCAAAUUGUGUCAUCGACUCGUACUCUCACGAGUUGAAAUAAAUUUUAUUCGCAUUGA